AAAAGAAAAAAUGGUUAAAAAACAAAAAAUGGUUAAAAAACAAAAAAUGGGUAAAAAACAAAAAAAAGCAUUGAUAACCUUCUAACGAACAGCUAUGAUGACAGUGACAGUAGUGAUGAAAACGGUAAUCCAGUAAAUAGUACGACAUCUUUUGAGUCAGACGAUAGUACUACUUUAACAAGUAAAUUAAAAAAUCCAAGUAAAAAGAAGAAGGAAGAAAAGAAAAAGAAGAUUAAAUGUGAUAAAAUUUCAUUAGACAAAAUAGAAUGGAAUAGAAUAAUAUUGGAUGAAGCACACCGAAUCAAGAACAGAGCAACCUCUACAUAUCAAUCCAUUUUACGUUUGAAUUGUUCAGGUUCUAGAUGGUGUUUAACUGGUACUCCAUUACAAAAUAGAAUAGGAGAAUUUCAUAGCUUGUUACGUUUUUUAGAAUUUUAUCCUUAUGCUUAUUAUUUUUUGUAAAAAAAAAAAUUGCAAGUGUUUACUGUUAAAUUUUGAUAUGAACAAUGCCAGAUAUUGUUAUAGAUGUCACCAUCAUCAGGUAAACCAUUUUAGUUAUUUUACUAAACAUAUUUUAAAACCUAUUCAAUUGUUUGGUUAUAAUGGAAAAGGUAUUACGAGUAUGUCCAAUUUAAAACAAGGAAUAAUGGAGAAAGUUUUAUUAAGAAGAACAAAAAAAGAACGAAUAAAAGAUGUAAAAUUAAAACCAUUAAUAAUAAAAAUAAGAAAAGAUACAAUGAGUAAAGAAGAAAAAGAUUUCUAUGAUUCUUUAUAUAAAAAAAACAUCAGUACAAUUUGAUACAUAUGUAAAGUCAAAUACUGUACUACAUAAUUUUGCUCAUAUUUUUGAUUUAUUGAGUAGGCUAAGACAAGCUGCUGAUCAUCCCUAUUUAAUUUUAUUUGGGAAUUCUUUUUUGAAUGAUCCAUCUGGUAAAUUUAUAAAAAAAAACUCUGCUAUUAUUCCUGCUAUUUCAAAUGAUUUUGUUUGUGGUCUUUGUUUAGAAAAUGUUCGGAGAAAUGAUAAUGUUACUACAAAAUGUAAUCAUAAUUUUCAUAAACUUUGUUUGAAGCAGUAUAUAGAAAGUUUUGAAAUGAAAGAUAUGAAACAUAUUGAUGUGGAUAUGGAUAAUACCACAUAUGGAGAAGAUAACAUUAACAAUAUCGUGAAGUCUAAUACAUAUGACUUUUCUGACUUAACACAAAGGAACACAGUUAGCUUAGAUGAUGUUAUUGAUAGGGAUAAAAUUGUUAAUAGGAGAGACAUAAUAUUUGGUAAAGAUGUGGAUAAUGGUGAUAAAGAUGGAGAUGGUGAUGGAGAUGGUGAUGGAGAUGGAGAUGGUGAUGGAGAUGGUGAUGGAGAUGGUGAUGGAGAUGGUGAUCGUGAUGAUGACGAGGAUGGUGAUAUAACUAAUUUGAGUAAUAGUAUUAUAAAUAAAAAAAAAACAAAAAAAAAAAAAAAAAACCAUAUGGAAAACGUGUGGUAAACAUAAUGACACAUGUUUUAUUUCUUUUUUUUUUUUUUUUUGUUCACUUAUAAAUUAAAAUUUUUGUAAAUAUUAAAUAACUGAAAACUUUUCAUUAUAUUGUAUGUGUAAUAAUACGCAUAUAAAUAAUUUUUAUUUGCAUGUCUAAUAAAAAAAUAAAAUUAACAUAACA
rnacentral:lncRNA from 1 species